rnacentral:rRNA from 1 species
AGCGAACGCUGGCGGCAGGCUUAACACAUGCAAGUCGAACGGGCAUCUUCGGAUGUCAGUGGCAGACGGGUGAGUAACACGUGGGAACGUACCCUUCGGUUCGGAAUAACUCAGGGAAACUUGAGCUAAUACCGGAUACGCCCUUUUGGGGAAAGGUUUACUGCCGAAGGAUCGGCCCCCGUCUGAUUAGCUUGUUGCUGGGGUAACGGCCUACCAAGGCGACGAUCAGUAGCUGGUCUGAGAGGAUGAUCAGCCACACUGGCACUGAGACACGGCCCAGACUCCUACGGGAGGCAGCAGUGGGGAAUAUUGGACAAUGGGCGCAAGCCUGAUCCAGCCAUGCCGCGUGAGUGAUGAAGGCCUUAGGGUUGUAAAGCUCUUUUGUCCGGGACGAUAAUGACGGUACCGGAAGAAUAAGCCCCGGCUAACUUCGUG